GCUGUGAACGCACCCUUAUAUUUGACGUUUCUUGCUGCAGCAUAAAUUUACAUACGGAUAUGCGUGCGUUUGUGUGAGUGUCAAUAAUAUGAGUAAAGAAACAGAUGAUCGUUGUAAUGUUGUAUUUGUUGUUUGUUUACUAAGUACAUAAGCGAUGUAAAGUCUCCAUCAUGGAAUAUGUGUAGUUUGUUGCGCUAUUAAGUCAAGUUAUCCGUUUAUGUUCUCCGGAGGAGAUUGAAUUUGUAGUGAUACUUACCGACUCUUGCUCAUCACCAGAGGCGAAGCUAGGGAGUGUUUGGGAAAGUGGAAAACUAAAUUGU